rnacentral:rRNA from 1 species
UACGGCGGGUGCGAGCGUUAAUCGGAAUUACUGGGCGUAAAGGGUGCGUAGGGGGUUGAUUAGGUUAUCUGUGAAAUUCCUGGGCUUAACCUGGGACGGUCAGAUAAUACUGGUUGACUCGAGUAUGGGAGAGGGUAGUGGAAUUUCCGGUGUAGCGGUGAAAUGCGUAGAGACCGGUAGGAACACCAGUGGGGAAGGCGGCUACCUGGCCUAAUACUGACACUGAGGCGCGAAAGCGUGGGGAGCAAACAGG